rnacentral:tRNA from 1 species
UCCCUGGAGGAAUAGUGGUUAGGCCUCGGCGCUCUCACCAUCACAGCUUGGGUUCGAAUCUGAGCCAGGGAA